rnacentral:lncRNA from 1 species
UUUUUUUCAGUGUCGGUGUUCAGUGUUUACUCAGUUUAGGGCCAUCAGUUGCUAAAAUCUAGUUUAAUCAUAUUGUUCCUAUCAUCGACGCCUGCAACUCUACACUAACAUUGACACCGGUGUGUUUGUCGCAGAUGGAUCAAUUGCUUCAUUAGAUAAAAGAAACACCACACCCUGCCAACAAUACAAUAAUUCUCGUUGUGUCAACAUAUAUUCAGGACCAUACCUUCCAGAGGUAUACUCUAAUAAUGCGGUACUUGUAUUGCAAGUGAAGCAUGAGCAGAAUAGGUAAAUCGUAAGGGUAAAAGUUUAUCCUCAGCUGGUGCAGCAAGAUUGGAAAUAGACAAACGAGCAGUAUGAUUAUAAACAUUUUUCAUGUUUUCCAACUAAAAAGAAAGUUUCCAUAUGACUGUCAGUACUUGCAUAUGAACAAGUUAAUAACUGGGAUUUAUGUUACAAGUCUGCAGUAUAUUAUUUGCUACUCAACUCUUGUCACUCACUUCGUUGAUUUUGAAUGCCCUUUUUGAUGCCCAAAUGAGGAAACCGUCACUAAUUUUCAUGUUCCAGAUUUUAUCUUGCCAGAAUUCUCACUAUUAGAACCUGUACUUACAACCAGUUAUUGUUCCUGACUUCAUUUUUGUGCAGGUUUGAUGCAAUUGAGGAUUAACCCAUGUUUUCUUGUGCGUCGGCAGGUGAAGACGUUCAUGGCUGGGGUCACAACAAUCUCGUAAGUGUAGCGCUUAGAUUAGGAAGAAAUAAAUCUUGUAGAUGUAGUACGUGGCUUUUGAAGUUCAGAUGGACAACUUUUGUAAAGUUUAUGUUAUUUUUUGUAUCAAAUUCUUGCGAUGUUCCCACGUGUAAAUAUCUUGACGUUUUUACAUGGAAA